AUGAGCCUCGCCUCCCUCGCCCGCGCCGCCGCCCGGUCCGCGCGCUCCUCCCGCCCGCGCCAGGGUUUCUCCCUGGGCGGGCUCCGGGCGCCGCCAUCGCCGCCGCUCCCGCCGGCCCACGGCGGGGACGCCGGGCCGCUCGGGCUCGUGCGCGGGUACCUGACGGCGUCGCUGGGGAGCCCUGCCGCGGUCAAGACCUCGGAGUGGAGGUACCUCCUCGCCAGCCCGCAGUUCCGCAGGCUCUUCUGCAGCGGCUCUAAGAAGAAUUACGAGAAUUACUACCCCAAGGGGAAGAAGGAGGCGCCCAAAGGGGAUGGGAGCAACAAGGAUUCCAAGCAGGAAUCCGAUACAGAUGGUCAAUGGAAUUUCCAGGAUGGUACUUUCAAGCAGCUGCAGAACUUCUUGGGACCUCUAUUGCUUUUAGGCCUGAUGUUCUCAUCCUUGUCUUCAAGCUCAUCAGACCAGAAGGAGAUAAGCUUCCAAGAAUUCAAGAACAAGUUACUGGAACCUGGCCUGGUUGAUCGUAUUGUUGUUUCAAAUAAAUCAGUGGCGAAGGUCUACGUCAGGACUACACCACAGACGAACGGCCAAAGCCAAAAUACUGAUACACAGAUUACGACCGUAGAUGUUCCAGGCAGACAGGCUCCCAGCAAAUACAAGUAUUUCUUCAAUAUUGGAAGUGUCGAGUCGUUUGAAGAAAAGUUAGAGGAAGCCCAGGAAAAUUUGGGUAUAGAUUCACAUGAUUAUGUUCCAGUAACUUAUGUUGCUGAAGUAAAUUGGUUCCAAGAAGUGAUGAGAUUUGCCCCAACAGCGUUCCUUGUUGGACUACUAUAUUUUAUGGGGAAAAGGAUGCAGAGUGGAUUUAAUAUUGGAGGUGGUCCUGGGAAGGGUAGCCGUGGUAUCUUUAACAUUGGAAAAGCAACAGUAACAAAGAUGGACAAAAAUUCUAAAAAUAAGGUGUUUUUUAAGGAUGUAGCAGGCUGUGAUGAAGCUAAACAAGAAAUAAUGGAGUUUGUGCAUUUCCUUAAAAAUCCCAAGAAGUAUGAAGAGUUGGGAGCUAAGAUACCCAAAGGUGCCCUGCUUGUAGGUCCUCCUGGAACUGGAAAGACUCUACUUGCUAAAGCUACAGCAGGAGAAUCUGGUGUGCCCUUUAUGUCCAUUUCUGGUUCCGAUUUCAUGGAAAUGUUCGUAGGUGUUGGACCAUCCAGGGUAAGAAACUUAUUCCAAGAGGCUCGGCAGUGUGCACCUAGUAUUGUAUUUAUUGAUGAGAUCGAUGCAAUCGGUCGCGCAAGAGGCCGUGGAGGUUUUUCUGGUUCAAAUGAUGAGCGAGAAAGUACUUUGAACCAGCUGCUUGUAGAGAUGGAUGGAUUUGGUACAACUGCUGGUGUUGUUGUUCUUGCUGGUACAAAUAGACCUGACAUCCUUGACAAGGCACUGCUAAGGCCUGGAAGAUUUGAUCGCCAGAUAACAAUUGACAAACCAGAUAUAAAGGGCCGUGAUCAGAUAUUCCGCAUAUAUCUUACAAAACUUAAACUGGACAAUGACCCAACAUAUUUUUCGCAAAGGCUAGCUGCUUUGACACCUGGGUUUGCUGGAGCUGACAUUGCGAAUGUUUGUAAUGAAGCUGCUUUGAUUGCUGCAAGAACCGAUGAAACUCAGAUUACAAUGCAGCAUUUUGAGUCUGCAAUUGAUAGGAUUAUUGGUGGUUUAGAGAAGAAAAACAAGGUAAUUAGCAAACUGGAGCGACGUACUGUUGCUUACCAUGAAGCUGGGCAUGCUGUUGCCGGAUGGUUUUUAGAACAUGCAGAGCCUCUUCUGAAAGUUACAAUUGUUCCCCGUGGAACAGCUGCUUUAGGCUUUGCACAGUAUGUACCAAAUGAAAAUCUUUUGAUGACAAAGGAACAGCUCUUUGAUAUGACAUGCAUGACGUUAGGUGGCCGAGCUGCGGAGGAGGUUUUGAUCGGAAGAAUCUCGACUGGUGCCCAGAAUGAUCUGGAGAAAGUUACAAAGAUGACAUAUGCGCAAGUUGCUGUGUAUGGUUUCAGUGAUAAGGUUGGUCUUCUAUCCUUCCCUCAGCGGGAGGAUGGCUUUGAAAUGAACAAGCCUUACAGCAACCAGACCGCAUCCAUCAUCGAUACUGAGGUGAGGGAAUGGGUCGCCAAGGCCUACAAAAGAACAGUCGACCUAUUAACUGAGAAGAAGGAACAAGUUGCUCUCAUCGCGGAGUUGCUGCUCGAGAAGGAGGUCCUCCACCAGGACGAUCUGACCAGGGUAUUAGGAGACCGCCCCUUCAAGGCAGCCGAGCUAACAAACUACGACCUCUUCAAGCAGGGGUUCCAGGACGAAGAGGGCAAGACUACAGAGCCCGCCAAGAAUGCCGAGGUGCCUGAUGACGACGGGCCGGCCGCUGCGCUUCCUGAUGUCGUCGUGCCGACGUAG
rnacentral:rRNA from 1 species